UACAUGGGGUGCAAACGUUGCUCGGAAUCAUUGGGCGUAAAGCGCACGUAGGCGGUUCGUUAUGUCGGAUGUGAAAGCCCUCGGCUUAACCGGGGAAGUGCAUCCGAAACUGGCGAGCUUGAGUACUAAAGAGGGUCGCGGAAUUCCCGGUGUAGAGGUGAAAUUCGUAGAUAUUCGGAAGAACACCAGUGGCGAAGGCGACUCGCUGGACAGGUAUUGACGCUGAGGUGCGAAAGCGUGGGGAGCAAACAGG
rnacentral:rRNA from 1 species